rnacentral:misc_RNA from 1 species
UAAUAAUGAGGAGUAAUGGAUUGCUUGAGAGAGUUGGAUAAGGUCGUGGUUAGCAGGCUCCUCAUCUUCCUGGACUACUUCAGCAAUACCAACACAAAAUAUGCCAUAUGCGAUGGCAGUGACAGGCAACUGUUGCUCGCCGUCCAGGACAACAGCUUCGCCAGCCUGUUCCUUCCGAAUGCAUUUGUGACGUUUCUGGUUAUGAACACCGAUAUCCGUCAGAUACAUUGGCUCGAUCCGGAACAAGUCCUUCUCAUUGUUAAGGCAGAGUUAUCGAGUCUUGGACGCUAGAAAGAAGUUGGUGUAUAAGAUCAGAGGCCCCAUAUUCCCAGGAACUACGAGAAUCCCCUACAAUAUCUAUAAUGGCAAGGGCGUGAGAGUGGGGACCAUCACCAGAAAGCUCCGCAAAUUUCCACGAGAACUCGUAUUCGAAGGCGACAUUUUUGUGGUGACUUUUCCCAAGGACAUGUCGGUCACCGACAAGUCCCUUUUAGUGGGUGUCACUUUCUACUUAGAAGCUAUGUAUCCCCACUUGCUGGAGGACAAAUUAAGGAUAAAUUAUUAAACUGAUGGGUUGACUUGGUGGUUCAUGUUGUAAUAUUUAAAUAGAAUAUACUUUAUUUCUUGAUUUGA